GGUUAAGCGACUAAGCGUACACGGUGGAUGCCCUGGCAGUCAGAGGCGAUGAAGGACGUGCUAAUCUGCGAUAAGCGUCGGUAAGGUGAUAUGAACCGUUAUAACCGGCGAUUUCCGAAUGGGGAAACCCAGUGUGUUUCGACACACUAUCAUUAACUGAAUCCAUAGGUUAAUGAGGCGAACCGGGGGAACUGAAACAUCUAAGUACCCCGAGGAAAAGAAAUCAACCGAGAUUCCCCCAGUAGCGGCGAGCGAACGGGGAGCAGCCCAGAGNUGUGAGCUCGAUGAGUAGGGCGGGACACGUGGUAUCCUGUCUGAAUAUGGGGGGACCAUCCUCCAAGGCUAAAUACUCCUGACUGACCGAUAGUGAACCAGUACCGUGAGGGAAAGGCGAAAAGAACCCCGGCGAGGGGAGUGAAAAAGAACCUGAAACCGUGUACGUACAAGCAGUGGAAGCCUCUUUUAUGGGGUGACUGCGUACCUUUUGUAUAAUGGGUCAGCGACUUAUAUUCUGUAGCAAGGUUAACCGAAUAGGGGAGCCGAAGGGAAACCGAGUCUUAACUGGGCGUUAAGUUGCAGGGUAUAGACCCGAAACCCGGUGAUCUAGCCAUGGGCAGGUUGAAGGUUGGGUAACACUAACUGGAGGACCGAACCGACUAAUGUUGAAAAAUUAGCGGAUGACUUGUGGCUGGGGGUGAAAGGCCAAUCAAACCGGGAGAUAGCUGGUUCUCCCCGAAAGCUAUUUAGGUAGCGCCUCGUGAAUUCAUCUCCGGGGGUAGAGCACUGUUUCGGCAAGGGGGUCAUCCCGACUUACCAACCCGAUGCAAACUGCGAAUACCGGAGAAUGUUAUCACGGGAGACACACGGCGGGUGCUAACGUCCGUCGUGAAGAGGGAAACAACCCAGACCGCCAGCUAAGGUCCCAAAGUCAUGGUUAAGUGGGAAACGAUGUGGGAAGGCCCAGACAGCCAGGAUGUUGGCUUAGAAGCAGCCAUCAUUUAAAGAAAGCGUAAUAGCUCACUGGUCGAGUCGGCCUGCGCGGAAGAUGUAACGGGGCUAAACCAUGCACCGAAGCUGCGGCAGCGACGCUUAUGCGUUGUUGGGUAGGGGAGCGUUCUGUAAGCCUGUGAAGGUGUGCUGUGAGGCAUGCUGGAGGUAUCAGAAGUGCGAAUGCUGACAUAAGUAACGAUAAAGCGGGUGAAAAGCCCGCUCGCCGGAAGACCAAGGGUUCCUGUCCAACGUUAAUCGGGGCAGGGUGAGUCGACCCCUAAGGCGAGGCCGAAAGGCGUAGUCGAUGGGAAACAGGUUAAUAUUCCUGUACUUGGUGUUACUGCGAAGGGGGGACGGAGAAGGCUAUGUUGGCCGGGCGACGGUUGUCCCGGUUUAAGCGUGUAGGCUGGUUUUCCAGGCAAAUCCGGAAAAUCAAGGCUGAGGCGUGAUGACGAGGCACUACGGUGCUGAAGCAACAAAUGCCCUGCUUCCAGGAAAAGCCUCUAAGCAUCAGGUAACAUCAAAUCGUACCCCAAACCGACACAGGUGGUCAGGUAGAGAAUACCAAGGCGCUUGAGAGAACUCGGGUGAAGGAACUAGGCAAAAUGGUGCCGUAACUUCGGGAGAAGGCACGCUGAUAUGUAGGUGAAGCGACUUGCUCGUGGAGCUGAAAUCAGUCGAAGAUACCAGCUGGCUGCAACUGUUUAUUAAAAACACAGCACUGUGCAAACACGAAAGUGGACGUAUACGGUGUGACGCCUGCCCGGUGCCGGAAGGUUAAUUGAUGGGGUCAGCGCAAGCGAAGCUCUUGAUCGAAGCCCCGGUAAACGGCGGCCGUAACUAUAACGGUCCUAAGGUAGCGAAAUUCCUUGUCGGGUAAGUUCCGACCUGCACGAAUGGCGUAAUGAUGGCCAGGCUGUCUCCACCCGAGACUCAGUGAAAUUGAACUCGCUGUGAAGAUGCAGUGUACCCGCGGCAAGACGGAAAGACCCCGUGAACCUUUACUAUAGCUUGACACUGAACAUUGAGCCUUGAUGUGUAGGAUAGGUGGGAGGCUUUGAAGUGUGGACGCCAGUCUGCAUGGAGCCGACCUUGAAAUACCACCCUUUAAUGUUUGAUGUUCUAACGUUGACCCCUAAUCGGGGUUGCGGACAGUGUCUGGUGGGUAGUUUGACUGGGGCGGUCUCCUCCUAAAGAGUAACGGAGGAGCACGAAGGUUGGCUAAUCCUGGUCGGACAUCAGGAGGUUAGUGCAAUGGCAUAAGCCAGCUUGACUGCGAGCGUGACGGCGCGAGCAGGUGCGAAAGCAGGUCAUAGUGAUCCGGUGGUUCUGAAUGGAAGGGCCAUCGCUCAACGGAUAAAAGGUACUCCGGGGAUAACAGGCUGAUACCGCCCAAGAGUUCAUAUCGACGGCGGUGUUUGGCACCUCGAUGUCGGCUCAUCACAUCCUGGGGCUGAAGUAGGUCCCAAGGGUAUGGCUGUUCGCCAUUUAAAGUGGUACGCGAGCUGGGUUUAGAACGUCGUGAGACAGUUCGGUCCCUAUCUGCCGUGGGCGCUGGAGAACUGAGGGGGGCUGCUCCUAGUACGAGAGGACCGGAGUGGACGCAUCACUGGUGUUCGGGUUGUCAUGCCAAUGGCACUGCCCGGUAGCUAAAUGCGGAAGAGAUAAGUGCUGAAAGCAUCUAAGCACGAAACUUGCCCCGAGAUGAGUUCUCCCUGACCCUUUAAGGGUCCUGAAGGAACGUUGAAGACGACGACGUUGAUAGGCCGGGUGUGUAAGCGCAGCGAUGCGUUGAGCUAACCGGUACUAAUGAACCGUGAGGCUUAACCUU
rnacentral:rRNA from 1 species